rnacentral:rRNA from 1 species
GAUGAACGCUGGCGGCGUGCCUAAUACAUGCAAGUCGAGCGAACAGACGAGGAGCAUGCUCCUCUGACGUUAGCGGCGGACGGGUGAGUAACACGUGGAUAACCUACCUAUAAGACUGGGAUAACUUCGGGAAACCGGAGCUAAUACCGGAUAAUAUAUUGAACCGCAUGGUUCAAUAGUGAAAGACGGUUUUGCUGUCACUUAUAGAUGGAUCCGCGCCGCAUUAGCUAGUUGGUAAGGUAACGGCUUACCAAGGCAACGAUGCGUAGCCGACCUGAGAGGGUGAUCGGCCACACUGGAACUGAGACACGGUCCAGACUCCUACGGGAGGCAGCAGUAGGGAAUCUUCCGCAAUGGGCGAAAGCUUGACGGAGCAACGCCGCGUGAGUGAUGAAGGUCUUCGGAUCGUAAAACUCUGUUAUUAGGGAAGAACAAAUGUGUAAGUAACUAUGCACGUCUUGACGGUACCUAAUCAGAAAGCCAAGGCUAACUACGUG